GCCUGACAGUUUGCUCUGAACAGAUUGCCCCAGAGAUGGACACAGGAGCACAGACUGCUGCAUGGGAUGUGUAUUCCUGUUUUCUGUGGAGUACUGAGUCAGAUGUCUAAUUAGGGCAAAUCAUCACUGAACUGCUGAUAGCCAGUGCCAGUGGGCUACAGGAGGGAACCAUUGCUGGCCAAGGCCAAGAGCAUCGGAGAUGGCAGGAACACAUCUGGGAUAGCUUAUUUAAGAAGGAGAAAACAGUUACUGUGAGAAUAUGUGAGAGGAGCAACUCCGCAUACACCAAGGUCAGUGGAGAAGGAGGGGGAGGAGGUUGCCUGGGUGCUGGUGCUGAAAUUCCCCUGCAACCUGUGGGGAAGACCAUGGAAAAGCAGACUGGUCCUGAUGGACUGCACCCUGUGGAAAGGAACCCAGGCUGGAA